UACGAAGGGGGCUAGCGUUGUUCGGAAUUACUGGGCGUAAAGCGCACGUAGGCGGAUAUUUAAGUCAGGGGUGAAAUCCCAGAGCUCAACUCUGGAACUGCCUUUGAUACUGGGUAUCUCGAGUAUGGAAGAGGUGAGUGGAAUUCCGAGUGUAGAGGUGAAAUUCGUAGAUAUUCGGAAGAACACCAGUGGCGAAGGCGGCUCACUGGCCCGUUACCGACGCUCAGGCGCGACAGCGUGGGGAGCAAACAGG
rnacentral:rRNA from 1 species